GGAAAAAUAAAAAUAAAAAAAACUUGAUUCCUCUGCUAGGGUUUCAACCCUAGCUUCUACGCCGCAGCGCCUCUGCCGCGAUCCCACCGUGGAAGGUGGUCGGAGUCGCACCCCAAAGGGCUUAUUGACUCCUUUUGCGUAGAUUGAAGGCGUCGCCAGGUAUUUCCCCUACUUUCCCUUUACUUUUUGUAUUACAAUAAAUCAAAUUGAAGAAAAGAGGAAACGAAGGAAAUAAAUUACUACCUUUUAAUCUAUUUUCCUUUCUUCUUUUUUUUUUUCUGAAUUUCUGUUUGUGAUUUUUAUUCUUUGCUUGUAUACUCUGUUUUGCUGUGAAUAUAAUCGUAUUUUUAUUGAUUUCGAAAAUCCCCCCUUUUACAAUAUUCUUAAUGGCCUUUUAUAACAAAAUAACAACAUAGAAAGUAAAUCUAUAGGAUUUGAUUCUCAAUCUUUUGAUUUUCUUUCUAUUUUUGUUUCUUUCCUUGUCAUGUAGGUGAAGAUCGCGUGGAGAUUCGGCCUGUGUGGACGAUUGGAGUUGCGGCGGCUGAAGCUUAGAAACCCUAGGGUUUUUCAUCUGUUUUGGGCAUCUGUAUUCGGGUUUUGGGCCUCAUAGGCCCAUUUUAAUUUGGGCCUUUUACCCGAGCCAAAAUCGGGUAUUACAAUAUUUUUUUAGAUUUUGAAAUUUCAAUCAUUACUUAAAACGAUAGUCAUUAAAUUCAUUGACUAAAAUAACAUGACUUCUGAGAAUUUG
rnacentral:lncRNA from 1 species